rnacentral:rRNA from 1 species
CGGACGGGUGAGUAACGCGUAGGAACCUGUCGUUGGGUGGGGGAUAACGCUGGGAAACCGGCGCUAAUACCGCACGUGGUCACCCCGUGAGAGCGGAGUGAAGAAAGCAGCAAUGCGCCCGAUGAGGGGCCUGCGUCCGAUUAGCUAGUUGGUGGGGUAAGGGCCUACCAAGGCGACGAUCGGUAGCUGGUCUGAGAGGAUGGUCAGCCACACUGGGACUGAGACACGGCCCAG